GACGAACGCUGGCGGCGCGCUUAACACAUGCAAGUCGAACGGAAAGGCCUGCUUUCCCUUGUGGAUUGCGGGUACUCGAGUGGCGAACGGGUGAGUAACACGUGAGUGAUCUGCCCCCAACUUGGGUAUAAGCCUGGGAAACUGGGUCUAAUUCCCGAUAGGACUGCAGGGUGGUGCCUGUGGUGGAAAACGAUUUUCUAGUGGUUGGGGAUGAGCUCGCGGCCUAUCAGCUUGUUGGUGGGGGAAUGGCCUACCAAGGCGGCGACGGGUAGCCGGCCUGAGAGAGUGGACCGCCACAUUGGGACUGGGAUACGGCCCAGACUCCUACGGGAGGCAGCAGUGGGGAAUAUUGCACAAUGGGCGGAAGCCUGAUGCAGCGACGCCGCGUGGGGGAUGACGGCCUUCGGGUUGUAAACUCCUUUCGACCGCGAGGAAGCCACCUGGUUGGAAGGGUGGUGACGGUAGUGGUAGAAGAAGCACCGGCUAACUACGUG
rnacentral:rRNA from 1 species